AACGAACGCUGGCGGCAUGCCUAACACAUGCAAGUCGAACGAGACCUUCGGGUCUAGUGGCGCACGGGUGCGUAACGCGUGGGAACCUGCCCUUAGGUUCGGAAUAACUCCCCGAAAGGGGUGCUAAUACCGGCUAAUGUCUUCGGACCAAAGAUUUAUGGCCUUUGGAUGGGCCCGCGUUGGAUUAGCUAGUUGGUAGGGUAAAAGCCUACCAAGGCGACGAUCCAUAGCUGGUCUGAGAGGAUGAUCAGCCACACUGGGACUUGGAAACGGCCCAGACUCCUACGGGAGGCAGCAGUGGGGAAUAUUGGACAAUGGGGGAAAGGCCGAUCCAGCAAUGCCGCGUGAGUGAUGAAGGCCUUAGGGUUGUAAAGCUCUUUUACCCGGGAUGAUAAUGACAGUACCGGGAGAAUAAGCUCCGGCUAACUCCGUG
rnacentral:rRNA from 1 species